rnacentral:lncRNA from 1 species
UGGAAUGAAAGCUGGGGAAGGGGGAGUGGAGAAGGAAGCGGAGUGCUCUGGCUGAACCAGAUGGCUGCAGGACGCUGACAGCCUGCGCUCAGCCACGUGGAGAUGAGGACGUUUGGUGCUGGGCUUCCAGCUGGAGCUUCGUGCAUUUCCAUAAGAAGGAAUGGACAUUAUGUGCCUCGUGUGUCUUCUCCACUUGUCCUCUGAAGAGGGACCCCGCUGGGCUGCUCGCCCUCAUCACCUUCUGUUGGGCAGUUGAGAUAAGCAGCCUGGAUGCUGUUCCCAUUGACCAGCGCCAUCACCUCAUGCUUGGUGGAGCUGCCCCUUGUGUCCUCUUCCCCAUUCCCCUCAUCAUCAUCAUCAUCUUCCGAGUCCACCAGCACUAAGACAUCAUCCGAGUCCUGGCUCCUGUCAACAGCAGAGAGAG